rnacentral:rRNA from 1 species
AUUGAACGCUGGCGGCAGGCCUAACACAUGCAAGUCGAGCGGAUGAAGGGAGCUUGCUCCUGGAUUCAGCGGCGGACGGGUGAGUAAUGCCUAGGAAUCUGCCUGGUCGUGGGGGAUAACGUCCGGAAACGGGCGCUAAUACCGCAUACGUCCUGAGGGAGAAAGUGGGGGAUCUUCGGACCUCACGCUAUCAGAUGAGCCUAGGUCGGAUUAGCUAGUUGGUGGGGUAAAGGCCUACCAAGGCGACGAUCCGUAACUGGUCUGAGAGGAUGAUCAGUCACACUGGAACUGAGACACGGUCCAGACUCCUACGGGAGGCAGCAGUGGGGAAUAUUGGACAAUGGGCGAAAGCCUGAUCGAGCCAUGCCGCGUGUGUGAAGAAGGUCUUCGGAUUGUAAAGCACUUUAAGUUGGGAGGAAGGGCAGUAAGUUAAUACCUUGCUGUUUUGACGUUACCAACAGAAUAAGCACCGGCUAACUUCGUG